UGUCAAAAAUUUGAUCUAUUUUUUUCCUGUUAAAAACUGGCGUGAUUGAUAAAAUAAUUAUACAGUUACACGUGGCAUAUCAUUUGUAUUUGUACUUCAUUCUAAUGUAUAGGGAUCAGUUUUUAACCGAAGAAAUAGAUUUAAUUUUCAAUG
rnacentral:pre_miRNA from 1 species